rnacentral:lncRNA from 1 species
GAAGAAAGGCGAUCCACACAAAAUCCUGGAUUCUGAACUGCCCGAAAUGAUACUGCUUUCAAAGACUUUCAGUUGCCUUCGUCGACCUGAUUGCAACUGCCGAAAACAUCCGUCCUGGGUUUGAAGAACCAAAAUUGCCAAAACUCUAAUUUUACAGAAAAUGGCUCAAAUUAAUCUUAGAACAUCCCUACUUAUCCAAAGAAACCUUAAUUUAAUAUAACUAAAACUCUAAAUGUUUUAAUAAUACGAGAAUU